UACGGAGGAUCCAAGCGUUAUCCGGAUUUAUUGGGUUUAAAGGGUGCGUAGGCGGCCAAUUAAGUCAGGGGUGAAAGACGGUAGCUUAACUAUCGCAGUGCCUUUGAUACUGAUUGGCUUGAAUGUACUUGAGGUAGGCGGAAUGUGACAAGUAGCGGUGAAAUGCAUAGAUAUGUCACAGAACACCAAUUGCGAAGGCAGCUUACUAAAGUAUGAUUGACGCUGAGGCACGAAAGCGUGGGGAGUCAAACAGG
rnacentral:rRNA from 1 species